UCUGACUCCUCCCUUUCUCCCUCUUCUGCAGACAGGAUCCAACAGGGGAAGAUGUAAUGUCGGUCCUUCUCCCCCUUUCCUUCAGGGCCUCAUUGUCCUGAGAAGUUCUCUCUAUGCCCUGGGAAGUCCUGACAGAAACAGAAUCGUCAACUUCUCACAUACAUGGAAACAAUGGCCACCGGACUUGUGAUCAUUUGGACAUUCAUUGAUUUGCCACUUUAUUUACAGAGCAACGCCCAGGUGCCUGGCUCCCAGGUUAGGGGGGGGCAGAAGGCAGACACAGACACUGCCUUCCUGGAGCUAACAUUCUAGAGCUACUCAGACCAAUAUGCAGCCACUAGCCAUAGGUAGCUAUUUAAGUUUAAAUUAAUUACAAUUAAAUGUCAAAAUCAGUUCUUCAGUCACACUAGCUACAUUGCCAAUGCUCCAUAGCCACAUGAGGCUGGUGGCUACCGUAUUGACAGCAGCUCUUGAACAGCCCUGGCCCAGAGAACAAUGAAGGAAAAACCCCUCCAGAGUUCUGAAGGCAGAGUGCCUGCCUAGUAAUGCCUCGGUAAUUCCCUCUCUGGGGUGGCCACGGGCAUCGCGUGUGCCCCUUAGUCUCAUAUGCCCUUUGAAGUCUCACAGAAGGCGUUGACACCCAUGAUUACGUUCAGCCUAAUGACACCUCUAAGGGUGGUAGAGAAGAGAUUCUGAUUCCCAGAUAAUAAAUUUACUCACUAGAGGACAGAGCCAAGGUCUAGAAGGCUUCAAUUCAUGCUUCUUUUUAUCAUUAAGUCCAGAAGCCGAUGUGUUAAUUACAAGUGUCCAAAAAUAGUCCAUCAUGCCUAAAUGAAUGGAAAUCAGUUUCUAUGUUUCUGGAGCUGCUAUUUUCAACAUGAACCAACCCCUCACAGAGCAUCGGCCACAGCUCCAGGUGGAGAGUGGCACCUUCUCUACUAGCUUAUGCAGUAAGUGUGGCUUCGCUGCCUGACCAAGCCCUCAGGCACUGCUCACAAACCAGUGUAGACCCAUAUGUUCGGUCACCUUUCCUUCCUGAUAAAGUGAACAGUCAGAUGUGCCACUCAAAAUUCUGCUCAAGACAAUUUAUCUUCCUUGCUGUGCUUUUGGGCCACCUCUAUUUGGGAACAUAACGCUACAGUGGUCCUCCCUUGUCUGGAAUCCACACGUCAUGCGGAACUAUUUGCAGACUAAUCUUGAAUGAUUUUCUGCCUCAGUCAUCUGGUCCUAGGGAAUGUCACAUGAGGCCAUGCGUGCAGGUGGAAAGAGAGGCAGUGAUAUGGUAAGAGUGGUUGCCCUGGGAGUAGAAGCCACCUGCGAAUGCAAAUUACUUGUACUUUCAGGACUUUCUCUGACCCAAUUUGUAUAUUUCACUGCCGCUGGUGACAGAGUACUUCUGGGCAUGCACGACAGGUGGGUUUGUGAGUCAGGAUAACAAGCUCAUGAUGUGCAGCUCAAGUUUCACACGCAGUCAGACUCUGAAAGGUACUAGCGGCCAGCCAAAAGCUGUUCCUCAAAGGGCCAGACAUGGGCUUAUUCCAAAGCCUUGGGACCUGUGCUGCUUUCCUCUAACAGGGCUUGCUACAGCUGCCACACAGACGCCUGCUCUGUCACAGACACUCCGAGGUACUGGAUCAUAAGGCUCCAGCAACAAGCUGGUUGCACUGCGGGCUGAACCAGAUGGAAAGGCCUUCUCUUGCUUUGAGCCUCACUCAAAUCUGGCUGUGCUGAGGCUACUCAGUGAAUGACUUAGAUCAGUGCAACCCAAUUUGGAAUAAGUUGUCUCUAUGAUACAGAGACACUCAU